GGGGAAUUUUGGACAAUGGGGGCAACCCUGAUCCAGCCAUGCCGCGUGAGUGAAGAAGGCCUUCGGGUUGUAAAGCUCUUUCGGCGGGGAAGAAAUGGCAACGGCUAAUAUCCGUUGUUGAUGACGGUACCCGCAUAAGAAGCACCGGCUAACUACGUGCCAGCAGCCGCGGUAAUACGUAGGGUGCGAGCGUUAAUCGGAAUUACUGGGCGUAAAGCGUGCGCAGGCGGGUUUCGUAAGACAGACGUGAAAUCCCCGGGCUCAACCUGGGAACGGCGUUGGGGACUGCAGGGCUGGGGUACGGCAGGGGGGGGUGAAUUUCCACGUGAGGCGGGAAAGUGCGUGAGGAUGGGAGGAAUACCGAUGGCGAAGGCAGCCCCCUGGGUUAGUACUGACGCUCAUGCACGAAAGCGUGGGGAGCAAACA
rnacentral:rRNA from 1 species